GUCCGUAUGGUCUAGUUGGUCAUGACGUCUGCCCAACAUGCAGAAGGUCCCCCUUCGAUCAAGGCGCCGGCA
rnacentral:tRNA from 1 species